rnacentral:rRNA from 1 species
UACGUAGGUGGCAAGCGUUGUCCGGAAUUACUGGGUGUAAAGGGAGCGCAGGCGGGAAGCCAAGUCAGCUGUGAAAACUACGGGCUUAACUUGUAGACUGCAGUUGAAACUGGUUUUCUUGAGUGAAGUAGAGGUUGGCGGAAUUCCGAGUGUAGCGGUGAAAUGCGUAGAUAUUCGGAGGAACACCGGUGGCGAAGGCGGCCAACUGGGCUUUAACUGACGCUGAGGCUCGAAAGUGUGGGGAGCAAAUAGG